rnacentral:tRNA from 1 species
GGGUCGUUAGCUCAGUUGGUAGAGCAUCGGACUUUUAAUCCGUUUGUCAUGGGUUCGAAUCCUGUACGACCUA